rnacentral:rRNA from 1 species
CACGUAGGGCGCAAGCGUUGUCCGGAAUUAUUGGGCGUAAAGAGCUCGUAGGCGGUCUGUUGCGUCUGCUGUGAAAACCCGGGGCUUAACCCCUGGCUUGCAGUGGAUACGGACAGACUAGAGGUAGGUAGGGGAGAAUGGAAUUCCCGGUGUAGCGGUGAAAUGCGCAGAUAUCGGGAGGAACACCGGUGGCGAAGGCGGCUUCCUGGACCGACACUGACGCUGAGGCGCGAAAGCCAGGGGAGCAAACGGG